CACGGUGGUCUAGCGGUUAGAACGCUGGCCUAGUAAUCCUGAGGUCUCGGGUUCGAUUCCCGGCGGUG
rfam:Zootermopsis nevadensis contig7482, whole genome shotgun sequence.